UACCUAAACAAAUUUAAAAAGUUAAGCUUUUAAAUAACUAUUAAAGAUAUUAUCCCCUUGUAGUGUAGUUUAAUAGCUAUCUACAUAUUAACUUAAUAUAAAGUAUAAUAGUUUAUAUUUUAUAAUAUGACGUUAACAAUUUUGUUUAAUAUUUGAAAAUGUUAGUAUUAGUAAUAUUAGUAUAUGUGCUAAAGGAACUCGGCAAAAAACCACUCAACUGUUUAUCAAAAACAUAGCUAUAUGAAUUAAUAUAUAGUUAUUUCUGCUCAAUGAUUUAAAUAGCCGCAGUACUCUGACUGUGCAAAGGUAGCAUAAUCAGUUGGCUUUUAAUUAGAGUCUGGUAUGAACGAAAAUAUGGGUAGUAACUGUCUUAGCACAUUUUUUCGAACUUAUUAACCAAGUGCAAAUGCUUGUAAUUUAACAAUAGACGAGAAGACCCUAGAAACUUGGACAAGUUUUUGUUGGGGCGACAGAAUUACACUUAACUAAUCUUAUAAUACACGACGCGAUGUUGAAAGAAUAAGUUACUCUAGGGAUAACAGCAUAAUUUCAUUAGUUUGUGACCUCGAUGUUGGACUAGGUACUAUACCCUUAAGGCAAGGAUAUACUAUGCUCUGUUCGAGCAAAAUUACCUACAUGAUCUGAGUUCAGACCGG
rnacentral:rRNA from 1 species